CGAGAUCUCAAGCUGGAAAACUUUCUCUAUUCGACCCAAAAACAUCAACAGCUGAAACUGAUUGAUUUUGGACUCAGCAAGCAUUACGUUCCUGGUGACGUCCAACACGA
rnacentral:sRNA from 1 species